rnacentral:tRNA from 1 species
GGAGUUGUGGCUCAUGGUAGAGCGCUUGCCUGGCAUGUAUGAGACCCUGGGUUCAAUCCUCAACACCCCA